AUCCAGCUGACGAGUCCCGAAUAGGACCAAACGUGCAUCCUAUAU
rfam:Schistosoma margrebowiei strain Zambia genome assembly, scaffold: SMRZ_contig0000505